rnacentral:rRNA from 1 species
GUGGGUAGUUUGACUGGGGCGGUCUCCUCCCAAAGAGUAACGGAGGAGCACGAAGGUUAGCUAAUCCUGGUCGGACAUCAGGAGGUUAGUGCAAUGGCAUAAGCUAGCUUGACUGCGAGAGUGACGGCUCGAGCAGGUGCGAAAGCAGGUCAUAGUGAUCCGGUGGUUCUGAAUGGAAGGGCCAUCGCUCAACGGAUAAAAGGUACUCCGGGGAUAACAGGCUGAUACCGCCCAAGAGUUCAUAUCGACGGCGGUGUUUGGCACCUCGAUGUCGGCUCAUCACAUCCUGGGGCUGAAGUAGGUCCCAAGGGUAUGGCUGUUCGCCAUUUAAAGUGGUACGCGAGCUGGGUUUAGAACGUCGUGAGACAGUUCGGUCCCUAUCUGCCGUGGGCGCUGGAGAAUUGAGGGGGGCUGCUCCUAGUACGAGAGGACCGGAGUGGACGCAUCACUGGUGUUCGGGUUGUCAUGCCAAUGGCACUGCCCGGUAGCUAAAUGCGGAAGAGAUAAGUGCUGAAAGCAUCUAAGCACGAAACUUGCCCCGA